UAUCAUAAGCACAAAAUAAGGGUUGAUAAGGGCAGUACAGUACUGUGAAAAUGUGACAAAUCUUCCUUUCAUAGUCACGUGAAUUGCUGCUUCAAAAUGGACAAGAACGACAAAGCUUUGAUCCUUCUCGUAUUAGUAUGAUAUAUCAUUUGACUUGUUUUACCAUUUUCUCUCGGUCAUUUCUUCACACGCUAUACCUUGAUAUAGGCUUUACAUUUUCAUCCUUCAUUUUUUGUUUAUUCUUGUGAUCUAUUUUCUUUGCAAUAUCUUCGUGCUUUUAUUUUUCUUACCGAGCAUUAAAACUGAUGCUAUUUAGUAUUGUUUAUCAGUCUAGUCACUGAGUCAUUGUACAUUCUGAAAGUAGAUGAAAAAAUCUCUAUAUUUUAUAAAAAAAAAAUCAUAUGAGAGUAAUACGUAAAAACUAACUAAUAAUAUUUCUAGCGAACAAGUAUAAUCCUACCGAGAGACGAAUAAGUCUUACGCGAGAUGAAUAUGAUUCGGAACUUCCGUAGUACACCACCAAUGCACAGAUAAACAAACGGGUCCGCCUCACGGCCAAGACGAACUGGUUUGUGAAUACCAAUCAGGAGAGACGUUUCACAAACCACCAAUCAGCAGCAGCAAUGGUACCUUAAAAAGUAUCUCAACAUUAACUAUAUUAAAAAAUAGAAAAGGAGGACAAAAAUUGAGACGAUUCUUCGUAAAGAGAUGAUUUCUAAGAAGAAACUUGUUGAAAGAUGCUUAGGUUCACUCUUAUGGUAAAUGGUUAAAUUCACCACAUUCUUAAUAACCAACCAAAAUAUGACGUGAAAUAGCUUAAAAAGACAAUAAAAAAAAAUUAAAUAUCUGAAAAAAAAACAACACCAACAUUAAUUAGCGCCAUCAGCAAAAUUCUAAAAACCUAAACUAUAAAACCAUAGACCCUAAAUCCAAAACACUAAACUAUAAACCUCAAUCCUAAAAUCUAAACCCUAAAUCUUAAACCCUAAAACCCAAACUCUACACAAUAAACCCUAAAUCCUAAAAUCUAAACCCUAAAGCCUAAACGCAAAACUCUAAACCCUAAACCCUAAAUCCUAAAUCCUAAACCCUAAAUCCAAAACUUUAAAUCUUAAACCCAAACCCUAAAUCAUAAACCCUAAAUCCUAAACCCUAAACCCAAAACUUUAAAUCUUAAACCCAAACUGUAACAGCCCGGUUCCUGGCCCAUAAAAAUUUCCUUGAGAAUAUGGGCUUCUCUACGGCCCAUAUGGCAAAGACCUAGGGUUCCCUUCCCCUUUCCUAUAAAAAGAGAUGCAGCCUCCUUUUGCCUCAUACAGAAACUAAAGCGAAGCUCUGCAGAGAAUUCCCGGAGACCAGAAACCCUAGCCGUC
rnacentral:lncRNA from 1 species